AGAGGGAAGUUUAGCCGGGAAGUUUGCAUCUAAGAG
rnacentral:rRNA from 5 species